UACGAGGGGGGCGAGCGUUGUUCGGAAUUAUUGGGCGUAAAGAGCUCGUAGGCGGCCUGUCGCGUCGGAUGUGAAAGCCCGGGGCUUAACCCCGGGUCUGCAUUCGAUACGGGCAGGCUAGAGUGUGGUAGGGGAGAUCGGAAUUCCUGGUGUAGCGGUGAAAUGCGCAGAUAUCAGGAGGAACACCGAUGGCGAAGGCAGUGGGCUGGGCCGGCACUGACGCUGAGGCACGAAAGCGUGGGGAUCAAACAGG
rnacentral:rRNA from 1 species